CACGUAGGGAGCAAGCGUUGUCCGGAUUUAUUGGGCGUAAAGAGCUCGUAGGUGGUUCAGUAAGUCGGAUGUGAAAACUCAAGGCUCAACCUUGAGACGCCAUCCGAUACUGCUGUGACUUGAGUUCGGUAGAGGAGUGUGGAAUUCCUGGUGUAGCGGUGAAAUGCGCAGAUAUCAGGAGGAACACCGACAGCGAAGGCAGCACUCUGGGCCGAUACUGACACUGAGGAGCGAAAGCAUGGGGAGCAAA
rnacentral:rRNA from 1 species